AUUGCUUCUCUGUCUUUGAGCUACAAUCAAGUGUAACAUAUGAUCUUAACAUGACAGUAUCUGAUGGGUCCUCUAGUGUAGGACAACAUAGUAAAUAGACUUUGGGAACUAGGAGAUGGACUAGGAGCUUGCUGCAUUCAAUACUCUCAUCAGCCUGGUAUUGCAAUACCUCCAGAACAGUGCAAAAUUA
ensembl:snRNA U2 U2 spliceosomal RNA